rnacentral:rRNA from 1 species
UACAGAGGUCUCAAGCGUUGUUCGGAUUCAUUGGGCGUAAAGGGUGUGUAGGUGGCGCGCUAAGUCGGGUGUGAAAUUUCGGAGCUUAACUCCGAAACUGCAUUCGAUACUGGCGUGCUUGAGGACUGGAGAGGAGACUGGAAUUUACGGUGUAGCAGUGAAAUGCGUAGAUAUCGUAAGGAAGACCAGUGGCGAAGGGCGGGGUCUCUGGGACAGUUCCUGACACUGAGACACGAAGGCCAGGGGAGCAAACGGG